rnacentral:piRNA from 1 species
UGGGUGACAUGGUAAAAGUACAUGGU